rnacentral:rRNA from 1 species
AUUGAACGCUGGUGGCAGGCCUAACACAUGCAAGUCGAACGAGUGGCGGACGGGUGAGUAAUGUCUGGGAAACUGCCUGCUGGAGGGGGAUAACUACUGGAAACGGUAGCUAAUACCGCAUACCAUCAGAUGUUCCCAGAUGGGAUUAGCCAGUUGGUGGGGUAACGGCUCACCAAGGCGACGUUCCCUAGCUGGUCUGAGAGGAUGACCAGCCACACUAGAACUGAACCACGGUCCAGACUCCUACGGGAGGCAGCAGUGGGGAAUAUUGCACAAUGGGCGCAAGCCUGAUGCAGCCAUGCCGCGUAGAUGGAGAAGGCCUUCGGGUUGUAAGGUACUUUCAGCGGGGAGGCGUUAUCCGCAGAAGAAGCACCGGCUAACUCCGUGCCAGCAGCCGCGGUAAUUC